rnacentral:misc_RNA from 1 species
AACGCACCUUGCGCUCUCUAGUUAUUCUGGAGAGCAUGCUUGUUUGAGUGUCGCGAACCUCUCAACCCCGUUAAAGGCUUAAUUGACUUUGAUUGCUUGGGCUUGGAUCAUGGUCACUUGUCGUUGUAUAACGACUUGACUGAAAUACAACAAGUUGAAUGAAUCCAUUUGCAGCUUGACCUGAUGUUGUAAACUACUCAUCGGGGAUGCAUAAGGAAGUCAAGGAACUUUAACAGAACCCCAUAUUAGUACUUAGUACAAUUUAUGACCUCAAAUCAAGUAGGACUACCCGCUGAACUUAA